rnacentral:rRNA from 1 species
AUUGAACGCUGGCGGCAGGCCUAACACAUGCAAGUCGAACGAGUGGCGGACGGGUGAGUAAUGUCUGGGAAACUGCCUGAUGGAGGGGGAUAACUACUGGAAACGGUGGCUAAUACCGCAUACUAUCGGAUGUACCCAGAUGGGAUUAGCUAGUAGGUGGGGUAAAGGCUCACCUAGGCGACGAUCUCUAGCUGGUCUGAGAGGAUGACCAGCCAAACUGGAACUGAGACACGGCCCAGACUCCUACGGGAGGCAGCAGUGGGGAAUAUUCCACAAUGGGCGAAAGCCUGAAGGAGCAACGCCGCGUGUAUGAAGAAGGUAUUCGGGUUGUAAAGGACUUUCAUCAGGGAAGCGUUAUCUGAACAGGAAGCACCGGCUAACUCCGUGCCAGCAGCCGCGGUAAUUC